GUUGGGCUGUGAUGACAAAUGGGCUAAAGCCCAAUAACUGUUUUAACAAUUUAGGCUCUUGCCCAAUAACAUGACCCGAUCCGCCCCGGCCCAAUGGUAGAUAAAAUGUGUUUUUGGGCGUGGCAUAUUUUAAUGCAGCCAAACACGCCUUAUUCAGUUAUAUGGAUGCCUCCUGACCGUCGGAUUGAAACUUGAUCUAAGGGUGCCUUUUGUUGGAUAUAAAUACUUGGCCCCUUUUGCCCUAAUUCACUUGGACUGUCAUUUUUCUCUUCUCUCCAGCUGCGGCUGAGGUUCGAGAGUCUUCCAAACCCUCUCUUCUUCUUCGUGAGAAUCCAAUCUCUGAUUGGAUCUGGUUUCUGUGUGAUUCCAUCUUUGUGUUCCUUAAUACUGUGUGUAUUGGAGAGUUUGGUGUGUGAUUUUACCCCUUGUGGUUUCCUUUAACUGAUAAAGGAAAACCUUAGGGUUUGGGGCGAUCGGUGUGGGUCAUACAGAAGGGUACAAUCCUGUAUUUUCUUGAGUCUGAGCCCUAUUCAUGAAAGGAACUUCAUCUUGAUGUCGUGUGGUUUGAGUUCUCGAUGAAGACUGGAGGAUUUAAUUUUCUGCCUCUUUUUCUUGUAACCUUUCUUGUUCAUUAUUUUGUGAUUUUGUACUGAUAGAUUGUUGUA
rnacentral:lncRNA from 1 species